UUACCCUACGGGGCGCAGCAGUAGGGAAUAUUGCUCAAUGGGGGAAACCCUGAAGCAGCAACGCCGCGUGAGUGAGGAAGUAUUUCGGUAUGUAAAGCUCUAUCAGCAGGGAAGAAAAUGACGGUACCUGACUAAGAAGCCCCGGCUAACUACGUGCCAGCAGCCGCGGUAAUACGUAGGGGGCAAGCGUUAUCCGGAUUUACUGGGUGUAAAGGGAGCGUAGACGGAUAAGCAAGUCUGAUGUGAAAAUCCGGGGCCCAACCCCGGAAUUGCAUUGGAAACUGCAUAUCUAGAGUGUCGGAGAG
rnacentral:rRNA from 1 species